CAAGAGAGGAAUGCUCUGGCUAACUGGAUGAAGGCUCAGUAUUGGGAAACAAGGAUGAUGCAGCAGAGCAGGGAGAACGCCUACCUGAAAUACAGAUUGCGCAUGAUGAAAGGGGAGAUGCUGCCUGUGGGAUCCAUGAGGCAUGAACUGAU